rnacentral:rRNA from 1 species
UACGUAGGGGGCAAGCGUUGUCCGGAAUCAUUGGGCGUAAAGAGCUCGUAGGCGGCUCAGUAAGUCGGGUGUGAAACCCUCAGGCUCAACCUGGGGACGCCACCCGAUACUGCUGUGGCUAGAGUCCAGUAGGGGAGUGUGGAAUUCCCGGUGUAGCGGUGAAAUGCGCAGAUAUCGGGAGGAACACCAGCGGCGAAGGCGGCACUCUGGGCUGGUACUGACGCUGAGGAGCGAAAGCGUGGGUAGCAAACAGG